rnacentral:rRNA from 1 species
CAAUAGCGUAUAUUAAAGUUGUUGCAGUUAAAAAGCUCGUAGUUGGAUUUCUGGUGGGAGCGAUCGGUCUGGCGCUUAGCGCGAGUACUUGCAUCGUCUCCGGCCAUCCUUGGGGAGUGUCUGUCUGGCAUUAGGUUGUCGGGCAGAGGAUCCUCAUCGUUUACUGUGAAAAAAUUAGAGUGUUCAAAGCAGGCUUAUGCCGUUGAAUAUAUUAGCAUGGGAUAAUAAGAUAGGACUUUGGUACUAUUUUGUUGGUUUGCGCACCAAAGUAAUGAUUAAUAGGGACAGUUGGGGGUAUUCGUAUUCCGUUGUCAGAGGUGAAAUUCUUGGAUUUACGGAAGACGAACUACUGCGAAAGCAUUUACCAAGGAUGUUUUCAUUAA